GGAUUUGCUUGAGAAACACCCCAAAAAAAAAAACUAUCUAAUAAUUUUUUUAUAAUUUUUGCCAUUCAUUUGGUGGCAUUGUGUUUGGAAAACGCCGGCCAAGGAUUAUAUUUUGGUUGCAAGCUUCAGGUAACAUUGUCCAUUACUUAGCUUGUCCAAGCUCGUUGGAGAAGGUAAUUUUUCUACCUUAUUGAAAUCAUUUUGUUUGUGUUCCUAAAGGAUUGAACAUCCCAUUAGGGGUUCGAGGGAUUUCAUCUACUUGAUUUCUUUGAUUCUAAAUCUCAUCUCGCCGCUCUCAAUCUCUUGAUCGGAAGCCCCAGAAAUCGCCAAAACCUCUGAUCCUUUCCGGUGUUUUCAUGUUGAUUUUCAGGAUAUUUGCCAUGAAUUUUGUUGUUUGAUUCUUGAUUUUUGAUUUCACUUUCAAUCAUGUCGAGAUGUUUCCCGUAUCUGCAUCCAAACCGAUUAAGGUUUAUUGAGCAUUAAUGUUCAUUGUGAGAAGAAGUUAAUGGUGUUGGAUUUUAUAGUGCCUUGUCAUUUUUGGAUGCAAGGGCGAUUUUGUUGUGGAUGUGUUACAAGCCUCUGAAGAAGCCUUUGACUGAGAAGGUGUUGAGCUGAAAGCUAUAUAUUCUGGCUAAGUUAGCAUCGGAGAUAAGGUAAAUAGUUCUGCUUGGUGUGAUUCUUUAUUGCCUUUUGAUAUUCUAAUACAUUCUUUAUUGGCUAUGUGUUUUUGUUUAUCUCGCAUUUGUUUUCAGUUGAAAGUGUGCAUCAUUUUAAGAUUGCUUAUUUGUUGAAAUGAGAAUUGUUACUGCAUUAUUCCAUAUUUUCGUUGAACUUCAAUCUGUUAUUGUUAAUGCUAGAAUUUGUUAGUCUCUGAUUUUAUUGAUUGUGAUAAAAUGUUUCUACAACUGAACAAUUCUAAGUUCAAUUUCAAUGAA